rnacentral:rRNA from 1 species
AUUGAACGCUGGCGGCAUGCCUUACACAUGCAAGUCGAACGGCAGCACGGGAGCAAUCCUGGUGGCGAGUGGCGAACGGGUGAGUAAUAUAUCGGAACGUGCCCAGUCGCGGGGGAUAACGUAGCGAAAGCUACGCUAAUACCGCAUACGAUCUAUGGAUGAAAGCGGGGGAUCGCAAGACCUCGCGCGAUUGGAGCGGCCGAUAUCAGAUUAGGUAGUUGGUGAGGUAAAGGCUCACCAAGCCGACGAUCUGUAGCUGGUCUGAGAGGACGACCAGCCACACUGGGACUGAGACACGGCCCAGACUCCUACGGAGGCAGCAGUGGGGGAAUUUUUGGGACAAUGGGCGCAAGCCUGAUCCAGCAAUGCCGCGUGCAGGAUGAAGGCCUCGGUU